rnacentral:tRNA from 1 species
GAGCCUGUAGCUCAGUUGGUAGAGCACGAGACUUUUAAUCUUGGGGCCGUGGGUUCGAAUCCCACCGGGCUCACCA